UUAUCUUUCCCUAAACCUAAUUUCUAUACCCAUCCGUUGCCUCUCCUUUUUCCCUUCCAUUUUGGACGAUUUUUGUACCUUUCUUUCACCGUCACAAGACCUUGCUCCACCAUUUUGGUGAAAGUUUCAGACAUUACCCAAAGUUAUUUUGUUCUCUUCCACAAAUCUCUUUGUUCCAAGUCAAAAUUUCAUCACAAGAGAUUCGUUUAGACUAGAGAUAGGUCACGGGCUUAUUUUCUCUGUCGAUCCAUAUCAGUCCCUUUCUCUUCUCUCUUCCGGCAUGAUUUUGACCUCUCACAACGACUAUAUUUCAAAGUUGAAAAGUUUCCGCUCAUGAAUCUGGAAACCCUAACCUUUUCCUAUAAAUACAUCUCUAACUCUCAGCCAAAGGGGCUUUCUUUUUUUACCGAAGAUUUACCACAUUUUCGUUAUCAACAUUAUUGCUCCAAAGAAGAGACUUUCUGGUGACUUUCCAUCCGAAAUUCGGAUUUGUUCGUGAGUAGGGAAGUAGAUCUGGAUCGUCGUCUCCUUCACUGCACCCGAAACAGACCUUGGGGAGCCCGAGGCGUAGAUUGGGAUUAACUUUAGGUUGGCUAUCUUGGAGGGCGUUCGAGGUAUGUAAAGCAACCUUCCUUCUUUUGGCAUGCCUUAGUUUUACAUAGGCUAGAUUAGAGCCUUAAGGGAAUUCCAAAUUCGAAAUCCGAGCAUGAUAUGAUCCUUAUAUAAUUCUUGGCACUCUUAUGCAUGAUUUGAUAAGAAUAUGAACCAUUAUAUCUUCGAAAUAAUCGUUUUCCAAAUGUUGCACAAAAAGUUUGUUUAGAGAAUUCCAUAACUUUUGAAUGCCAUAUCUUUCGCAUAAAGGCUCGGAUUGUUCCAAUAUUUUUAUAGGAGUUGCAUGAUGUAUAAUGAGUAUGAUUUCCAUAGGCGGGCCUGACUCGGGUCAAUACCCGUUCGUGGGUCCCGCGACUUUCCUUUAUGCGAUUCGGAGAACUUUUGAAAGAAUUUGGUAUGACUAUUAUUCCGAUUUCGAAUAUGAUCAUUUUUACUUAUGUUUGAGUUUGUGAUAAUGAUUUUGUGCAUAUGACUACUCACGAUUCUACUCGUGCAUUCUGUUAUCCCUUCGCCGAGUCCCGGGCCGGUUAUGUUGUCGUGCGCACUUUGAUAUACUCCGGAGUUAUGCUGUGCUUAUGGUUCACCGAGCUACUCGCCAAAGAGGGUCGGGUUCCACUUAUAUAUGAUGAUAUGGUGUGUAUGGCGUUAUGCUGUGUUAUGAUAUGUGACGGGGGUUCGGAGGUUAGAAACCUUUCCGGUGUUAUGCUGUGUUAUGGCGCCAUCGACGGGCGGGCGACCAUAUUCUUCUGUACCUUCUGCAUGACUUACAUAUUUUUAAAGUAAACAUUUUGAUACGUUGGAUUUGUACAUAUUCUUUGUACUACUAAUCCGUUUAUGUCUCAGGUUUGCUUCUGUAUAUUCUACUUUGCAUACUCAGUACAUAUUUCGUACUGACCCCCUCUCUUCGGGGGUUGUGUUUCAUGCCCGCAGGUACAGACACACAGUUUAGUGAUCCACCAGUCUAGGACACCCUCUUCUGCUAUUUGGAGUGCUCUUCUCAUUCCAGAGCCUACAUUUUGGUAUAUAUAUUUUGUUCGUUGUGUAUGUAUAUAUUUGAUCAGGGGUACGGCGGGGCCCUGUCCCGCCAUAUGUUUUGACUGGUCUGUUUAGAGGUCUGUAGACGUAUUUGUGGGUGUGUGCGCCUACUUCUGUUCAGAUGCGAUUGUAUGAUCCUAUAUGGUUAUGGCAGCCUUGUCGGCGUGCAUUCUGUAUAUGUUUUGGGCCAUUGUGCCAUUUGGUAGCCUUGCCGGCUUUUUGAUAUAUAUAUAUAUAUAUCCGCA